UGUGUAGGCGGUCCUCUAAGUUUGGUGUGAAAUCUCCCGGCUCAACUGGGAGGGUGCGCCGAAAACUGGAGGGCUAGAGUGCGGGAUGGGAAAGUGGAAUUCCUGGUGUAGCGGUGAAAUGCGUAGAUAUCAGGAGGAACACCUGUGGUGUAGACGGCUUUCUGGACCGCAACUGACGCUGAGACACGAAAGCGUGGGUAGCAAACAGGAUUAGAUACCCUGGUAGUCCACGCCCUAAACGAUGCAUAUUUGGUGUGGGCCAUUCAUUUGGUCCGUGCCGGAGCUAACGCGUUAAAUAUGCCGCCUGGGGAGUACGGUCGCAAGGCUGAA
rnacentral:rRNA from 1 species